AUUUCAUCUCCAUCCAUCUCAACGAUUGGGUUGGCGACUUUGAUCUUCUCAAAAGCCAUAAUCGAUAUUUUCCCUUUCUUUUAUCUUGUUUUCUGUUAUUAAAAGGAAAUGGGUUUUGAUUGUAAAGAUGAAAAGGGACGAAGAAAGAAAUGCUAGAACAUGAGAAGGAAGAGCUUCUGCUGAUAAGGUUUAGAGGCACAGAUGAAAGCGGUGCGUGAUGGAGUUAGGUGGGUGAAUAGCAGAGAGAGC
rnacentral:misc_RNA from 1 species